CACAGUGUCAACAGUAUGAACUCCUGAGGGAGGAAGAAGCACACGGACUCUUCUGCUUCAAACACUCAGGUUGUUUACUCCACAGAGCCAGUCUUCCCCGGAUCAGGCCCCCCACUUAGUGUAUUUGACAAGCUGAGUUUGACACUCUUGUUUCGCUGAGUGUCAGUUUGUCAAAUACCCCAAGUGAGGUGUCACUUUUCUCCAAAUGUGACCAGUCCUAGGACCCUCCACAGCGGGGGCUACCACACCAAGGAAACUGAAAACACCACGGAACCCUUUUCUUGUGAAAUUUGAGGAUCUGGAAAAGGAACGAGGUAAUAGGUUCUGAUAGUGGGGACACGCAGAGUCACCGUAUCAUCUGUUUAACUAUUAGUUAUUUAGUAAAUAAUGCAAAUGACUCAUUGUUUUUAAUUGUAUCCCUUGAGAAUCCUAAAAGGUUCAGUUGAUGAAGCAAUGAAAGCUUCAUACAGAUGUUUGAGUAAAUUAAAGCCUAACCUUUAAACCCAAUUUUGUUUUUUCAGCCAUUUUAUUUCUAGGCUUUAAGCAGAGUCACUAGAAGUCUCAGUUGAACACGGCACGUAUUGUUAUUCUCAGGACAUGUAGGCUGCUUUUUAAUGCCAUCAUUUGUAUGUUUGUUAUGCAUUCUCAGAUGUUUUUCAUUUUUAAGUGUUCUGAAACAAUGUUCAUCUAGAGAGGUUAAAGUUGGGUUGUAACUAUGUUGCUAAAAACUAAUGAAAACAUUCUGGGUUUGAUAGUGAUCUGUGGCCAGUGAUGCAAACAUGGAACUAAAUGUCUUGUAUUAAUCACACACGUGUCUUGUGUUAGGAGAAAUCCAUGUACUAGAGACAUGACCCACCUUAAAAAUAUGAUUGCCCAUCUGUAAAGACUGGCAGGCUUUUUCUCUUACGAAUCGUUGAAUGAGGAUACUUUUAUAUUUGAGGUAUUUGCUUAAUUUAUUUUUUGGUUUUGCUAAAUGUUUUUGGUUCAGCCUUGAUGGAAGUUUUCUUUCCCUGCCAAAAUGUGAGAGCAACUGUCUUUUCAAUUUCACGGGGAGCAUGCAUAAGGGAAGAGAACAGCCAAAUCAAAUAUACAGUGCCUCGUGUUUCUGCUGAAAAAUACUCAUAGAUAACUCAAAAAAGCCAGGUUUAAGUUUGUUGUUCCUUCAGCAAAUAAACGUUUUAUUUUGAAACGCUGUUAAAAAAAUUGUAUUUGAUGGCAAACUGGUUUUUCUCUGGAAAACGAGAGACUCAUCUCAAUUACACUGCCCGAUUAAAUAAAGAUUUAAUACAAUAAUAACAAAUAA